AAAAACACACACCCUGAAUUUCUGGAAACUUUCCAAGGAUUGUUUGUCCCUGUUGGAAUUAUAAGGAUGAUCCAAAUGCCAGAGUCACACAGGAACCGUGCUAUCACCCAACUUUCUAAAAAGAAGAGGAGGGGAAGGAGAAAAGGCUGCCAAAAGCUUUUCACUACUCUGUAACUGGAGUUAGAAUAGGCAAGAUAAUGAAAGUCAGAGUGUGACCUUAAAAGCAAUUGAACAAACCAGACAAUGAAUGAAGAUAUUUGGACAGUAUUAAAGCAAUGAUGGAGACAGAAGAAAAUAAGAAAUUCUUUAGGGCUGAAAAUAUUUUGAUGACCCUAACGAUAUGGGUGCAUCCAGGGUGCUUCUUUUCUUUCCAUACCAUAUUAUAAAUUGCUUUCAAAGCUCUCCUUGAACACUAGCAGAAAUAAUUGUACGGUUCACUGAAUUGCAAUAAAUCUGGCAUG